rnacentral:rRNA from 1 species
GAUGAACGCUGGCGGCGUGCUUAACACAUGCAAGUCGAACGGAAAGGCUCCUGCUUGCAGGGGUACUCGAGUGGCGAACGGGUGAGUAACACGUGGGUGAUCUGCCCUGCACUUCGGGAUAAGCCUGGGAAACUGGGUCUAAUACCGGAUAGGACGAUGGUUUGGAUGCCAUUGUGGAAAGUUUUUCGGUGUGGGAUGAGCUCGCGGCCUAUCAGCUUGUUGGUGGGGUAAUGGCCUACCAAGGCGUCGACGGGUAGCCGGCCUGAGAGGGUGUACGGCCACAUUGGGACUGAGAUACGGCCCAGACUCCUACGGGAGGCAGCAGUGGGGAAUAUUGCACAAUGGGCGCAAGCCUGAUGCAGAGACGCCGCGUGGGGGAUGACGGCCUUCGGGUUGUAAACUCCUUUCGCUAGGGACGAAGCGCAAGUGACGGUACCUGGAGAAGAAGCACCGGCUAACUACGUG